rfam:Nippostrongylus brasiliensis genome assembly, scaffold: NBR_contig0000558
GUCUCAGUGGCGUAGUGGUUAGCGCACGAGCCCCGGUUGGGCGAGAGACGCGGGUUCGAAUCCCGCUUGAGAUG